rnacentral:rRNA from 1 species
CCUACGGGAGGCUGCAGUGGGGAAUAUUGGACAAUGGGCGCAAGCCUGAUCCAGCAAUGCCGCGUGUGUGAAGAAGGCCUGCGGGUUGUAAAGCACUUUCAGUGGGGAGGAAGGCCUCGAUAUUAAUACUAUUGAGGAUUGACGUUACCCACAGAAGAAGCAUCGGCUAACUCUGUGCCGGCAGCCGCGGUAAUACAGAGGGUGCAAGCGUUAAUCGGAGGUACUGGGCGUAAAGGCUUAAGAGGUGGGUGAAAGCCCCGGGCUCAACCUGGGAAUUGCAUUUGAUACUGAGUAACUUGAGUAUGGUAGAGGGAAGUGGAAUUUCCAGUGUAGCGGUGAAAUGCGUAGAUAUUGGAAGGAACAUCAGUGGCGAAGGCGACUUCCUGGACCAUUACUGACACUGAGGCACGAAAGCGUGGGGAGCGAACAGGAUUAGAUACCCCAGUAGUC